AUUGCCUCAGUAACGGCGAGUGAAGCGGCAACAGCUCAAAUUUGAAAUCUGGCCCUAGGCCCGAGUUGUAAUUUGCAGAGGAUGCUUUUGGUGAGGUGCCUUCCGAGUUCCCUGGAACGGGACGCCAUAGAGGGUGAGAGCCCCGUCUGGUUGGACACCGAGCCUCUGUAAAGCUCCUUCGACGAGUCGAGUAGUUUGGGAAUGCUGCUCAAAAUGGGAGGUACAUGUCUUCUAAAGCUAAAUACCGGCCAGAGACCGAUAGCGCACAAGUAGAGUGAUCGAAAGAUGAAAAGCACUUUGAAAAGAGAGUUAAACAGCACGUGAAAUUGUUAAAAGGGAAGCGUUUAUGACCAGACUUGGGCCGGUUGAUCAUCCAGUGUUCUCACUGGUGCACUCUGCCGGUCUAGGCCAGCAUCAGUUCGCUGCGGGGGAUAAAGACGUCGGGAAUGUGGCUCCUCGGAGUGUUAUAGCCCUUCGUGUAAUACCCUGUGGUGGACUGAGGUUCGCGCACUGCAAGGAUGCUGGCGUAAUGGUCAUCAACGACCCGUCUUGAAACACGGACCAAGGAGUCGUCUUCGUAUGCGAGUGUUCGGGUGUCAAACCCCUACGCGUAAUGAAAGUGAACGCAGGUGAGAGCUUCGGCGCAUCAUCGACCGAUCCUGAUGUUCUCGGAUGGAUUUGAGUAAGAGCAUACGGGGCCGGACCCGAAAGAAGGUGAACUAUGCCUGUAUAGGGUGAAGCCAGAGGAAACUCUGGUGGAGGCUCGCAGCGGUUCUGACGUGCAAAUCGAUCGUC
rnacentral:rRNA from 1 species